GAUGAACGCUGGCGGCGUGCCUAACACAUGCAAGUCGAACGGAGUGUAGACGCUGUGCGAAGAAGUGCUUGCACGGAUUCAAACUUGUUUACACUUAGUGGCGGACGGGUGAGUAACGCGUGGAAAACCUGCCUCAUACAGGGGGAUAACAGGAAGAAAUUCCUGCUAAUACCGCAUGAGCGCACACUGUCGCAUGGCAGAGUGUGAAAAGAUUUAUCGGUAUGAGAUGGUUCCGCGUCUGAUUAGCCAGUUGGCGGGGUAACGGCCCACCAAAGCGACGAUCAGUAGCCGGCCUGAGAGGGCGGACGGCCACAUUGGGACUGAGACACGGCCCAGACUCCUACGGGAGGCAGCAGUGGGGGAUAUUGCACAAUGGAGGCAACUCUGAUGCAGCGACGCCGCGUGGGUGAAGAAGUUAUUCGUAAUGUAAAGCCCUAUCAGCAGGGAAGAUAAUGACGGUACCUGACUAAGAAGCCCCGGCUAACUACGUGCCAGCAGCCGCGGUAAUACGUAGGGGGCAAGCGUUAUCCGGAUUUACUGGGUGUAAAGGGAGCGCAGACGGGAUAGCAAGCCAGAUGUGGAAGCCAUAGGCAUAACCUGUGGAGUGCAUUUGGAACUGUUAACCUUGAGUGCCGGAGGGGUAAGCGGAAUUCCCAGUGUAGCGGUGAAAUGCGUAGAUAUUGGGAAGAACACCGGUGGCGAAGGCGGCUUACUGGACGGUAACUGACGUUGAGGCUCGAAAGCGUGGGGAGCAAACA
rnacentral:rRNA from 1 species